UAUUGGACAAUGGGGGCAACCCUGAUCCAGCAAUGCCGCGUGAGUGAAGAAGGCCUUCGGGUUGUAAAGCUCUUUUGUCAGGGAAGAAACAGCAGCUCUAACACAGCUGUGAAUGACGGUACCUGAAGAAUAAGCACCGGCUAACUACGUGCCAGCAGCCGCGGUAAUACGUAGGGUGCAAGCGUUAAUCGGAAUUACUGGGCGUAAAGCGUGCGCAGGCGGUUACACAAGACAGGCGUGAAAUCCCCGGGCUCAACCUGGGAAUUGCGUCUGUGACUGUAUAGCUAGAGUGUGCCAGAGGGGGGUAGAAUUCCACGUGUAGCAGUGAAAUGCGUAGAUAUGUGGAGGAAUACCAAUGGCGAAGGCAGCCCCCUGGGAUAACACUGACGCUCAUGCACGAA
rnacentral:rRNA from 1 species